rnacentral:ncRNA from 1 species
UAGAUAGAGGCGCGUUUUUAAAUAGUAUGUCGGAGCAGAGGCGCAGUACUUGUAUGCCGCACAGAAAGGUAAAAACGCCGAAGAGAAAGCCGGACUGCCGCUGUGCUUUUUCUGGGCGCACGGCUAACAGCCCUGUGACUGUCGCAUAAGCACAAUACGGAGUAUUAUCUAUAUUAGAGUAUACGGCUGAAGUUUGGCAUAUUGCGGAGAGCUAUCU